UGUGGGAGCGAGCUUGCUCGCGAUGACGAUUGCACAGUCAGCAUCGUCGUUGACUGACAUUGCGCCAUCGCGAGCAAGCUCGCUCCCACA
rnacentral:misc_RNA from 1 species